UACGUUCCCGGGCCUUGUACACACCGCCCGUCAAGCCAUGGAGGUCAGGGAGACCUGAGGACAGUGACCGUCAAAGGAGCUGUUUAGGGUAAAACUGGUAACUGGGCU
rnacentral:rRNA from 1 species